AUUGAACGCUGGCGGCAUGCUUUACACAUGCAAGUCGAACGGUAACAGGCCUUCGGGUGCUGACGAGUGGCGAACGGGUGAGUAAUGCAUCGGAACGUACCCAGAGGUGGGGGAUAACGCAGCGAAAGCUGUGCUAAUACCGCAUGUGAUCUGAGGAUGAAAGCGGGGGACCGAGCAGCAAUGUUUGGCCUCGCGCCUUUGGAGCGGCCGAUGUCGGAUUAGCUAGUUGGUGGGGUAAAGGCCUACCAAGGCGACGAUCCGUAGCUGGUCUGAGAGGACGACCCGCCACACUGGGACUGGGCCACGGCCCAGACUCCUACGGGAGGCCGCAGUGGGGAAUUUUGGACAAUGGGCGCAAGCCUGAUCCAGCAAUGCCGCGUGCGGGAAGAAGGCCUUCGGGUUGUAAACCGCUUUUGGCAGGAACGAAACGGUGUCCGCUAAUACCGGGCGCUAAUGACGGUACCUGCAGAAUAAGCACCGGCUAACUACGUG
rnacentral:rRNA from 1 species